rnacentral:rRNA from 1 species
AUUGAACGCUGGCGGCAGGCUUAACACAUGCAAGUCGAGCGGAGAUGAGGUGCUUGCACCUUAUCUUAGCGGCGGACGGGUGAGUAAUGCUUAGGAAUCUGCCUAUUAGUGGGGGACGACAUUCCGAAAGGAAUGCUAAUACCGCAUACGUCCUACGGGAGAAAGCAGGGGAUCUUCGGACCUUGCGCUAAUAGAUGAGCCUAAGUCGGAUUAGCUAGUUGGUGGGGUAAAGGCCUACCAAGGCGACGAUCUGUAGCGGGUCUGAGAGGAUGAUCCGCCACACUGGGACUGAGACACGGCCCAGACUCCUACGGGAGGCAGCAGUGGGGAAUAUUGGACAAUGGGGGGAACCCUGAUCCAGCCAUGCCGCGUGUGUGAAGAAGGCCUUAUGGUUGUAAAGCACUUUAAGCGAGGAGGAGGCUACUGAGACUAAUACUCUUGGAUAGUGGACGUUACUCGCAGAAUAAGCACCGACUAACUCUGUGCCAGCCGCCGCGGUAAAAC